rnacentral:rRNA from 1 species
UGCAAGUCGAGCGGAAACGACUUAACUGAACCUUCGGGGAACGUUAAGGGCGUCGAGCGGCGGACGGGUGAGUAAUGCCUGGGAAAUUGCCCUGAUGUGGGGGAUAACCAUUGGAAACGAUGGCUAAUACCGCAUAAUAGCUUCGGCUCAAAGAGGGGGACCUUCGGGCCUCUCGCGUCAGGAUAUGCCCAGGUGGGAUUAGCUAGUUGGUGAGGUAAGGGCUCACCAAGGCGACGAUCCCUAGCUGGUCUGAGAGGAUGAUCAGCCACACUGGAACUGAGACACGGUCCAGACUCCUACGGGAGGCAGCAGUGGGGAAUAUUGCACAAUGGGCGCAAGCCUGAUGCAGCCAUGCCGCGUGUAUGAAGAAGGCCUUCGGGUUGUAAAGUACUUUCAGCAGUGAGGAAGGUUCAUACGUUAAUAGCGUAUGGAUUUGACGUUAGCUGCAGAAGAAGCACCGGC